rnacentral:rRNA from 1 species
AGGGAAUGGCGGCGUGCCUAAUACAUGCAAGUCGAGCGAACAGACGAGGAGCUUGCUCCUCUGACGUUAGCGGCGGACGGGUGAGUAACACGUGGAUAACCUACCUAUAAGACUGGGAUAACUUCGGGAAACCGGAGCUAAUACCGGAUAAUAUAUUGAACCGCAUGGUUCAAUAGUGAAAGACGGUUUUGCUGUCACUUAUAGAUGGAUCCGCGCCGCAUUAGCUAGUUGGUAAGGUAACGGCUUACCAAGGCAACGAUGCGUAGCCGACCUGAGAGGGUGAUCGGCCACACUGGAACUGAGACACGGUCCAGACUCCUACGGGAGGCAGCAGUAGGGAAUCUUCCGCAAUGGGCGAAAGCCUGACGGAGCAACGCCGCGUGAGUGAUGAAGGUCUUCGGAUCGUAAAACUCUGUUAUUAGGGAAGAACAAAUGUGUAAGUAACUAUGCACGUCUUGACGGUACCUAAUCAGAAAGCCACGGCUAACUACGUGCCAGCAGCCGCGGUAAUACGUAGGUGGCAAGCGUUAUCCGGAAUUAUUGGGCGUAAAGCGCGCGUAGGCGGUUUUUUAAGUCUGAUGUGAAAGCCCACGGCUCAACCGUGGAGGGUCAUUGGAAACUGGAAAACUUGAGUGCAGAAGAGGAAAGUGGAAUUCCAUGUGUAGCGGUGAAAUGCGCAGAGAUAUGGAGGAACACCAGUGGCGAAGGCGACUUUCUGGUCUGUAACUGACGCUGAUGUGCGAAAGCGUGGGGAUCAAACAGGAUUAGAUACCCUGGUAGUCCACGCCGUAAACGAUGAGUGCUAAGUGUUAGGGGGUUUCCGCCCCUUAGUGCUGCAGCUA